AUUGAACGCUGGCGGCAUGCCUUACACAUGCAAGUCGAACGGCAGCACGGGAGCAAUCCUGGUGGCGAGUGGCGAACGGGUGAGUACUAUAUCGGAACGUGCCCAGUCGUGGGGAUAACGUAGCGAAAGCUACGCUAAUACCGCAUACGAUCUAUGGAUGAAAGCGGGGGAUCGCAAGACCUCGCGCGAUUGGAGCGGCCGAUAUCAGAUUAGGUAGUUGGUGAGGUAAAGGNUCACCAAGCCGACGAUCUGUAGCUGGUCUGAGAGGACGACCAGCCACACUGGGACUGAGA
rnacentral:rRNA from 1 species